UAUGGCCGGCCACGUAUAAGUAUAACAAAUAGUGCAUAAGUGCAAAACUACUGAUUAGUGGUCACCCGGUCACCCCAUUUACUUGACACAAUCACACUUGUUAAUGCAAGCCACCAUUUCUCAACAAACUCCAUGAAAACAGAGGCUUAAAGCUCGAGGAUUUGGGUCUUCCAUUAUGAUACGAGGUUCAUUCACUUGAUGAGCUAAAACUUAAAGUUCCCUAAUUUCAAAUUUCGUAAAAUUUCCCGCUCAACCAAAUAUAUUGGAAAAUUUACUAAUUAGGGUUUUGUAUCCCAUCUUCUCCAAUUACUCAGUUGCCCAGCUUUGAAAUUGACAAAUGCUAUUGUUGACCUUCGAGGAUGAAAAAUGCUAUCUUGGAUUCAUUAAGUUAAUUGCUAGGCUAAGUCACACUGAAAAUUUCUCUCUCCGUCUUGCAACUAUUAAGGAUGCUAUAAUUCCAGAAAAUGUGAGGCUGAAGUCCUGCUCUCCACUGUAUGGUGUCAAGCAUUUGAUGAUUUUACUUUCACUAGAUUGAAAAAUACUCCUAUUGAUUUAGUCAAGGGUCUCCUGUGGCUUGCUCCCUGCUCAGAGUCUCUGCGUGUAUGCAAUUUCGAAGAUGGAAUUCAAAAGUUUUUUAAGUUUACAUAUGAGAAGCCAUUAGAAGGCAAGAAAAAAUGUGGUUGUUGGAAGUCUCUGGAUAUCAAUUGUUGGCGGCAUUCGCUUACCAAUGUAUCGCUUGAGUAUGAAGAAGGAGAUGAAGAUGAUACACAAUUAGCAGAAUUCUUUCGCAAUGCCAGGAUUGAUGGAAAGAUGGUGAAUUUUGUCAAGACUACUGGGACUGAAAUGAAAUACAGACGAAGAUGGUAAACCUUGUCAAGAAUUCUAGGAUUGAUACUUGAAGCAUGUUUCUUCAAAGGUUUAGUAACGACAUGCAUAUAUUGAGUUCUUUGUUGGUGUUUUUUUUAGGAGAGAAUAUGUUUUUGAGCCAGUAUUAAUACCAAAGCUCGAAAACUGUUCACCUACCUUACCUUAGCUAAAUCAAAAAAUUGCAUCCGUUUUUGAGUACUGAAGGUUAAGGAGCUUCUACUUUUUGUAUGUGAUGGAAGUAUCUUUCUUUUGAUCUGAGAUCUGAUGUUAAUAACAGAUUUAGAUGUAAUUUAUCUGGUUACUACAGUAUAUUUUUCUAAACUUAUUCUGCAAGUUUAUAACCCUUAGCCAAGCAAAGAAACUAUCCCUUCUGGAAUAUCGUGAUUAACCCGAAAAUGCUUGACAAUUUUAUGGCUAAUUGCAACCCAGAUAAGU